rnacentral:sRNA from 1 species
AAAUCUUGAACUCCAAAUCUUCAGUGUAGCGCUUCCUUUUCACCUGCCUGCUGGACCGCCUCUUCUGCAACAGAACCCCGACAAAGAGCUAGCAGAAAACACACGCCAUGUCCUUUAGCACUUUGUGUCGUUUUUAAGAAUGAGAGUGCUAUGUGUAUUUUCUGGUUUGAAGUGAAAUGCCACCUUCACUGGAUUGAAAGGUAACAUUUUCGUUUCUGCUAAACUUAACAGUGGGGGUGGGGAACGGUGCAGGGAACCAAAUGUGUUCCUAGAGACUACAUUAGUGGCACUCACAUUGCUCCGUUUAAUUUAGGCUUCAGUAGUCAAGUCACAGGCUCUGGCCAAGUUCCCCUCUUUCUGUACAUUCAAAGAAUCUUUAUGUAGCUAAAUGGACCACUAAAUCCUUCAAGAGUCAUUCAAAGGAAGCACUUCCUCCAAACUCUCUCUCACUUCACAGAGCCCAUGCAAGCACAACAGAAAGUACUGAAAAGAAAAUGCAAAUCCUCCGGGAAUCCAUGCACAUGCAAAAUGCAUCCUCUCUAGCCACAGAGGCCUGGCUCUAUUUCCAAUAUUAACAGCCAAUAUUUGAAAGCUAUAAGGACACCCAGGGAGAGCAAUAAAAAACAGGUAUAGGAAAAAUAUAUUACAAGGAAGAGGAGGAGGAGGGGGAAGGAGGAGGAGGAGGAGGAAGAGGAGAUGGAAAAAGAGGAAAAGAAGAGGAGGAGAAGGACAAGGAGGAGGAGGAGGAGAAAGUCUCUAUCACAGGAGUGGGGCCUAGAAGUAGCCCAUCUCCCCACCCCCACCCCACUGUUAGGGUGCAGCUCUGGUGUCUUUAUCCUAAUAUCCUGUUUCUCCACCAUUCCAUGUGACUGCUUCCAGGUAGAUUACUGUAGCUCCUCUGGCACAGGAAAGACAUGUGUGACUGUGUUUUGGUUGUUGAGGUGGGGGAUGUCUACAAAUUUAACCAUCCGACCAAUUUAACAGAACCAAGUGGGAUCCACAGGGCAAGGGGGCUGCCUCGGGCACCAGAGGACCUGCUCUGCGCAUCUGCCACCUCUGUGCAGUCCUCCAUCACCAAGGGUGUGUGAACGACGCGGACCACCAGCAGGUCGCGUCCCCAUCACCCACUCAGAGGGCACUGUGUCUGCCGGCGGCGUGGCAGCAACAGCACAGCUCAGGGCUACAGGAAAGAUGUGAGGAGUUACCGGGCUAAAUUUUUCAUUUCACUUGCUCAUUUCCUCUGUUUCAGCCCCCUGUAGGAAAAUUAUUUUCUGUAUAAACAAAUUCAUCAAGUUAACUUAUUCAAGGAUGGAAAUAACCGGUAUCACAUAGCAUUUUGCAAAACAAAAUUGCCACUGUUGUAUUCCACAGCAUAGACGCAAACUGCUCUGGCAAUUCAGCCUCAGCACUAACACAACCCAAACCCCCUAUUACCUUCAUCACUGCAUAUUCAAUUUACAUAAUUAUUCUGCUAUGCUAUUCAAAAUUUACAUGUAGUUGUGUGCAUUCUCGUUAUCCUUGAUUCAAGGAUGCUAUUUCCUUGUAGAUGUGACUGAACAAGGAGACCACAAUUGACAUACUCAAUUCAUCUGACCAAUCGCAGCAACGUGGCUUGACAAAAUAAUGGUUUGGUUUGUUAAUUUAUUUAACGUCUCGGUGCAAUUAUCCUAUGUUUGGACAGCCAUUCCUGAAAGACCAUCAACAACAGGGAAGCUUCUAAGGAUGGUCCCUGCCUCACUUCAUUGUAGCUCAGCAAAUGGUCACAUACGUGGUGAGGCUACCCAGGCAAACAGAGGUGCUGCCAACUCUUCCUCCACCUCCCAACGCCUCCCCUAAACAUGGCCUAGCAUGUACCCGGUCAGCUUCCUGUCAUGCGUACAUCUCCACAUACAUCACCGUGUUCCUGUCAAAGGUUCCCAAACCAUUAAGGCUAAAAACAACGUUUGUUUAUAGCUCACAGGGAGACAACUAGUGAGGGCCAACAGUGGGAAGGAAGAAACUAUAUUUUCUUGUUGAGUGAAAAUUCCCUCCUGCGCCCCCCCCCAAAAAAAAAGAAAAGAAAAGAAAAGGAGGUGCAGGCCCUACUCAGUAAGCUGGGCUGAACACACUCGUCAGAGACCCUCCCUCACGCUCAGGAGGACAGCCCUGGAAGCUCCCUGGGUGGACACAGGAACUAUAGCUGCACCAAGGAAAUGCUGCAUGCCCAGGCUGGAUUCCCACAGGCGACAGGGAAGAUACAAGGGUCACUACUACAUACAGCAUGUCAGAAUCCAUUUCCAAACUACCCCAUGCGGGUGAGGGUGUGCUCAAGUAAACUGGGAACAUGGGGCCUGCCCAAUGAGACACAGGGUGAAGAUGGUUGGAAAUUUAUGUCGGAUUCUAUCCCACAGUGAUUCUAUCCAUUUUACCAUUAAGUAUAAUAAUAAUAAUAAUAAUAAUAAUAAUAAUAAUAACAACAACAACAACAACAACAACAACAAUGGAAACUGAACUGAAAUUAUCCUGGUACUAAAAGUGUUGGUGAUAAUAUUGCUAAAGUCCAGAAUGCCUCUUUAGUACACACACCUACACCUUAACCAAAAAGGGCCCUUCUGUUCCAGAUAAGGAUUUGUCUUCUCUCCCUGGGAGAUAUAAGUAUGUGCUUCCUCAUACCAAAGCCCAAUAUUUACACUCAGGCGUUUGCUUUUAAAAAACAAAUGCAUGCCGUCAGACUAAGAAGUUUAGCUGUAUCUUGCUUACUCACCACUACAGUUCCAACAGUCAUCUACAAAUAACUAUUUAACAAAAUGUCUCGUUAAUAAACGCAAAAGCUUUGUGGUGAGUUCUGGGCUCAGAAAAAUAUUCGUAAGGAGAAAAAAAUAUUUUCAAUGAAGAGACUGGGUACUGAGGUAUCAAACACUGACUGAAAGUUAUUGGUAAAUUUGAGUGAGUGCAUGUACUUGGUGUUUUGAACACCAUACAAGGCAUCCAUGGCAAAAGAAAGAAAGAAA